CUCUUGUUUUCUUUUUCAUCUUCUCACAAAUACAAACACUCAUCUCACACUCCCUCACACUUUCCCAUUGGUACCUCCAUGCCACCAUCUCCACCAUCAUUUUUCCGGCAAUGUCACUAGAAAAUCCUUAGGAACAUCUAAGCAUCUUCAUCUUUUAUUUGAGGUUCUAGCUAAUCUCCUUGGAGCUUGAAGAAUUAGGCUUUUGCGGUUGCGAGUCUUUGUGACAACAGAAUUAGAUCCAGGUCAGUGCCCUUUCACUUUGGAUGAUGCGUUCUUUCCUGUUGCGCAUGGGGGGAAGAUGUUCCUUGAUUGUGUGUGGGUGAGGCUACUAUCCAUGGGGCCAAAAGACCAUAUGCAAAAGAGGUCCUAUUUGACACGCUUUCUCUGCUACCCAUGGGGGGAGAGAAAAACCUUGAGAGUAUGGGUGAGGCUGCUGUCCAUGGGGCCAAGAGUCUGCA